rnacentral:rRNA from 1 species
UACGUAGGGGGCAAGCGUUGUCCGGAAUCAUUGGGCGUAAAGCGCGUGUAGGCGGCCCGGUAAGUCCGCUGUGAAAGUCGGGGGCUCAACCCUCGAAUGCCGGUGGAUACUGUCGGGCUAGAGUGCGGGAGAGGCGAGUGGAAUCCUGGUGUAGCGGUGAAAUGCGCAGAUAUCAGGAGGAACACCAAUUGCGAAGGCAGCUCGCUGGAACGUAACUGACGCUGAGACGCGAAAGCGUGGGGAGCAAACAGG